AANNNUNANCCAUGCNNGNCUAGUAUAGCAUUAUACAGCGAAACUGCGAAUGGCUCAUUAUAUAAGUUAUCGUUUAUUUGAUAGUACCUUACUACUUGGAUAACCGUGGUAAUUCUAGAGCUAAUACAUGCUAAAAAUCCCGACUUCGGAAGGGAUGUAUUUAUUAGAUUAAAAACCAAUGCCCUUCGGGGCUCCUUGGUGAUUCAUGAUAACUUCUCGAAUCGCAUGGCCUUGUGCCGGCGAUGGUUCAUUCAAAUUUCUUCCCUAUCAACUUUCGAUGUUUGGGUAUUGGCCAAACAUGGUUGCAACGGGUAACGGAGGGUUAGGGCUCGACCCCGGAGAAGGAGCCUGAGAAACGGCUACUACAUCCAAGGAAGGCAGCAGGCGCGCAAAUUACCCAAUCCCGACACGGGGAGGUAGUGACAAUAAAUACUGAUACAGGGCUCUUUAGGGUCUUGUAAUUGGAAUGAGUACAAUUUAAAUCUCUUAACGAGGAACAAUUGGAGGGCAAGUCUGGUGCCAGCAGCCGCGGUAAUUCCAGCUCCAAUAGCGUAUAUUAAAGUUGUUGUGGUUAAAAAGCUCGUAGUUGAACCUUGGGCCUGGCUGGCCGGUCCGCCUCACCGCGUGUACUGGUCCGGCCGGGCCUUUCCCUCUGUGGAACCUCAUGCCCUUCACUGGGUGUGGCGGGGAAACAGGACUUUUACUUUGAAAAAAUUAGAGUGCUCCAGGCAGGCCUAUGCUCGAAUACAUUAGCAUGGAAUAAUAGAAUAGGACGUGUGGUUCUAUUUUGUUGGUUUCUAGGACCGCCGUAAUGAUUAAUAGGGACAGUCGGGGGCAUCAGUAUUCAAUUGUCAGAGGUGAAAUUCUUGGAUUUAUUGAAGACUAACUACUGCGAAAGCAUUUGCCAAGGAUGUUUUCAUUAAUCAGGAACGAAAGUUAGGGGAUCGAAGACGAUCAGAUACCGUCGUAGUCUUAACCAUAAACUAUGCCGACUAGGGAUCGGACGGUGUUAUUUUUUGACCCGUUCGGCACCUUACGAGAAAUCAAAGUGCUGNCUCCNGGNNNUNNNGNNNNNNGNUGAANUA
rnacentral:rRNA from 1 species